rnacentral:piRNA from 1 species
UGAAAAUUUUAAAAGGGACUUUAAAAG